AUGUGGAUAUCAUAGACUGUGUUCACAUGACUCAUCAACUAGCUUUUGAUCAUGCUUUCCUUGACCACAAGAUUCACGUCCAUCUCCUCCUAUAUAUUUCUACUUUUAGCUAUUUUAAGUGAUUUUCUUUGUUGUUAUCAAUUUUUUUAUGGAUAAGCUUAUCAAACUGCAUCAGCACUCUUAAGCAAAUUAUAAUACUUGUUUAGCACUAAUUUC
rnacentral:lncRNA from 1 species